AAAGAAAUCCUCAGAUCGAACACGACGCUGAAACUCAAACUUGUAAACUGGCGUAGAAGUUGGCAAGACUCUUUCCCUAGUUUGUGAGGUGAAGGUAGUUUUGAUCAGCAGAGUUUGGAAACUUAUAGAAGAGUGAGAUCACAUCAGUUUCUGGUUAAGAAGAUCUCACCUCACCUCAGGGUGCUUCACCUUUUCGCUCCAAGUUCAGCCCUCUGCUCCCAGUUUAGUCCCGUCUCUCUUCAGCUGUCCGGUCCAAUGUUGGUAAAAAUGUCCUAAAAAUCAUCACAGGAGGACACCACAACUCUGAACUCAUCAUGACUUCCACCCGGGUAGAAGUUGCUGCUCAGAGUCUUUGGAGCUGAAAGAAAAUGUGGAUUUUGUUGACGAGUGAUCAUAAAACGUAGAGAAAAGAAAACCGGAGAGGUUUCUAUUUUGCAUGAAAAGGACAAACGCACCCGUCAGAAGGAGUACAGACAUAAUCAGAGGAGGGAAAGGUCCAGAUGAUUGGAUCUGACUCCAGAGAAGAAGUGGAGACUGGAGUUUGAGGGUUAGGGUUAGGUCUCCUCCCUGUGGGACAUGUCUGGAACACCUCUAACGAAGGCGUCCAGAAGGCGUCCUAACACCUCAGCUGACUCCUCUGGACGUGGAGGAGCAGCGGUUCUCCUCUGAGCGCCUCCCGAGUGUCCGAGCUCCUUACCCUAUCUCUAAGGCUGAGCCCGGACACCCUGAGGAGGAAACCCAUUUCAGCCGCUUGUAUCUGCGAUCUUGUUCUUUCGGUCAUUACCCAAAGUUCAUGACCAUAGGUGAGGAUCGGCACGUAGAUCGACCGGUAAAUCCAGAGUCUCUCCUUACGGCUCAGCUCUUUCUUCACCACCACUGAUCUGACGCCGCUCCGAUCCGCCUGUCGAUCUCCCGCUCCAUCCUACCCUCACUCAUGAACAAGAUCCUGAGAUACUUGAACUCCUCCACUUGAGGCAGGACCUCCCCUCCGACCUGGAGAAGGUGAUCUACCUUUUUCUGACUGAGGACCAUGACCUCGGACUUGGAGGUGCUGAUUCACAUCCCAGCCGCUUCACACUCGGCUGAUUGUUUUCAGGAAAUUAAAGACUGGACUUUUCCUCUUUUUGUUAUUGACAUGAAGAGUUUUCCUGAAUCUCUACAGCUGAUGAAACACCAGAGGAUGAUCGAACUCAGACGACAUUUCAAAAACACAUUUCUUAAACCAAAACCUACACUUUGGAAAACGUCCACAUUUAUCGGUGACUCUGAGGACGGCGAUGAGGAGCAGUAAAGAUCAUCAUCUCUGAUCGACUCACUGUGAAGCAGGAUGGACAGAGUCAUCUGGACGCAGAUCACAUGUGAUGGAGCGUCCUCUGGAGAGUCAGUCAGUCGGACGCUGCUGUGGUUGAGCCCUCGACUGCCGCAGACGUGCAGAGACAAUGACUCCGGGUUCGAG